rnacentral:lncRNA from 1 species
GUUGGAGGUCCAAGACUGGGGCGUUGGCUAGGAAGGGGUGGGAGGGCCUCUCUGGAGUCACAGAAGCCUCAUGCAUCUUGACCAGGACGGUGGAUGCAUGGCUUACAUUGGUCACAACUUGUCAACUUGUAUGACUGAAAACUGAACAUCACAUUGAAUUGGACUCAAAGGCAAGACCUGAGGCAAAAUUCAUGUAAGGAGGGAGUUUGGGCGAAGCUUGAGGACUGCUGCCCGGAAGCGUAGAUUCAAGUUGCCCUGAAUACACCUCCUAUUAGCAGCUGUUACAGCCAUUCCUGGGGGAUUCCUGGGAGCCAUGUGGGAGAGGCGUGAGGAAGUGAGACCUUCACCCCGAGACAGGUCCUGACACACCCUCUGGUGCCUCUACUCAAGUGAGAAGUUUGGCUGCUGUAACUGACUGGGAAGCUUAAAAUAACAGACAAUCAUCUCUCACAUUUAUGGGGACUGGGAAGUCCAAGACCAAGUUGCCAUCUGGGGAGGGCCUGUUCCUCACAGCGCCUUCCAGCUCAGGCCUCGUUUAUAAGGGCACUCAAGCCUUCCACGACAACGGGUCCUCAUGACUUACUCACCUCGGAAAGCCCCACCCCCAAGACCAUCACAUUGUGGGUGAUGGCAGAGCAUAAGGUGCCUUCCCCACAUGCUCGGGUUGGCCCAGCGUCUCACGCUAGCAGCUACGUGGAAUAGUUAUUUUUUCUGGAGAACUCUGGGACCCCUCUGAUGUCUUGGAGCACCCACACAGGCCGUUCACUGUGCACGCUGUGAGGCUGUCGUCUUGGAGCACCCACACAGGC